rnacentral:rRNA from 1 species
UCUGUAAGCCUGUGAAGGUGUGUCGUGAGGCAUGCUGGAGGUAUCAGAAGUGCGAAUGCUGACAUAAGUAACGAUAAAGCGGGUGAAAAGCCCGCUCGCCGGAAGACCAAGGGUUCCUGUCCAACGUUAAUCGGGGCAGGGUGAGUCGACCCCUAAGGCGAGGCCGAAAGGCGUAGUCGAUGGGAAACGGGUUAAUAUUCCCGUACUUGGUGUUACUGCGAAGGGGGGACGGAGAAGGCUAUGUUGGCCGGGCGACGGUUGUCCCGGUUUAAGCGUGUAGGUGUGUGUUCCAGGUAAAUCCGGUUCACUUUAACACUGAGGCGUGACGACGAGGCACUACGGUGCUGAAGCAACAAAUGCCCUGCUUCCAGGAAAAGCCUCUAAGCAUCAGGUAACAUCAAAUCGUACCCCAAACCGACACAGGUGGUCAGGUAGAGAAUACCAAGGCGCUUGAGAGAACUCGGGUGAAGGAACUAGGCAAAAUGGUGCCGUAACUUCGGGAGAAGGCACGCUGACACGUAGGUGAAGUGAUUUACUCAUGGAGCUGAAGUCAGUCGAAGAUACCAGCUGGCUGCAACUGUUUAUUAAAAACACAGCACUGUGCAAACACGAAAGUGGACGUAUACGGUGUGACGCCUGCCCGGUGCCGGAAGGUUAAUUGAUGGGGUCAGCGCAAGCGAAGCUCCUGAUCGAAGCCCCGGUAAACGGCGGCCGUAACUAUAACGGUCCUAAGGUAGCGAAAUUCCUUGUCGGGUAAGUUCCGACCUGCACGAAUGGCGUAAUGAUGGCCAGGCUGUCUCCACCCGAGACUCAGUGAAAUUGAACUCGCUGUGAAGAUGCAGUGUACCCGCGGCAAGACGGAAAGACCCCGUGAACCUUUACUAUAGCUUGACACUGAACAUUGAGCCUUGAUGUGUAGGAUAGGUGGGAGGCUUUGAAGUGUGGACGCCAGUCUGCAUGGAGCCGACCUUGAAAUACCACCCUUUAAUGUUUGAUGUUCUAACGUGGACCCGUUACCCGGGUUGCGGACAGUGUCUGGUGGGUAGUUUGACUGGGGCGGUCUCCUCCUAAAGAGUAACGGAGGAGCACGAAGGUUGGCUAAUCCUGGUCGGACAUCAGGAGGUUAGUGCAAUGGCAUAAGCCAGCUUGACUGCGAGCGUGACGGCGCGAGCAGGUGCGAAAGCAGGUCAUAGUGAUCCGGUGGUUCUGAAUGGAAGGGCCAUCGCUCAACGGAUAAAAGGUACUCCGGGGAUAACAGGCUGAUACCGCCCAAGAGUUCAUAUCGACGGCGGUGUUUGGCACCUCGAUGUCGGCUCAUCACAUCCUGGGGCUGAAGUAGGUCCCAAGGGUAUGGCUGUUCGCCAUUUAAAGUGGUACGCGAGCUGGGUUUAGAACGUCGUGAGACAGUUCGGUCCCUAUCUGCCGUGGGCGCUGGAGAACUGAGGGGGGCUGCUCCUAGUACGAGAGGACCGGAGUGGACGCAUCACUGGUGUUCGGGUUGUCAUGCCAAUGGCACUGCCCGGUAGCUAAAUGCGGAAGAGAUAAGUGCUGAAAGCAUCUAAGCACGAAACUUGCCCCGA